GGUAUCAUGGCCGAGUGGUCUAAGGCGCCUGACUCAAGUUCAGGUCUAGAAAUAGGCGUGGGUUCGAAUCCCACUGAUACCA